rnacentral:rRNA from 1 species
CUCAAUGAUAAUUCAAUAGCCGCAAUAUAUCUGUGCUAAGGUAGCAUAAUCAUUUGUCUUCUAAUUAAAGACUAGAACGAAAGAUUUAAUAUUUCCAUUUCUAUUCAAAACAAAAUAUUUCUAAUUCAUUUUAAAUAUUAAAAAAUAUUUAUACAUCAAAAAGACGACAAGACCCUAUUGAACUUUACUAAAGUUUAACUGGGGUAGUUAAUCAAAUAAUAUUUUAAUUUAAAAUUCAAAAUUAAUCUAAUUUAAUUAAAUUUAAUCAAGUUACCAUAGGGAUAACAGCGCAAUAAUUUUUUCAAGCUCUUAUUUAAAAAACAAUUUACGACCUCGAUGUUGAAUUAAUAUUCUAUUAAAUGCAACGAUUUAAUAAGAAAGUCUGUUCGACUU